rnacentral:tRNA from 1 species
UAGAAGAAUGGGACUCGAACCCACACCUAAAAACUCAAAAUUUCUAGUACUUCACUAUACUAUCUCCUA